AGGCUCUAAAUUCUCUUCAAAUCAUAUAAAUAUUUUACUGAAGAUUUCUGUGGAGAGAAUGGAUUCAGGGUUUGGAAGCAAUUUUUGAAUGCCUGACUUCAGUCAGGUC